UGGUGCCCUCCAAGCCUGCCUGCUGUGUAAUCUUUGGGUACUUCGGUUUCUCAAUCCAAGAGCACUGACUGGCUAUCUCAAACGUUAUAACAAGGUAAUCGAAAGGGGAAAUUGUCCUUCUCAUUUUAACAGCUGUGAAAACGCAGGCAAGAAAUCACAGCGAGAUCCGACACAUUGGUUCAAAAGGAGCUAGUGAUCAAUUCAGAGGAACUGGAAGUUUUUACAAAUUUUUCCUGGAGGCCAAAUGGAGACCAGGUGCUUUACCUUAAUGUGAGUGACAGCAUGCCUUCUGCUCAGUGAAUACUCAGCCAGGAAUGACUGGUGGCUUGCUUCACUUAUACAACUGAUGGGCUUUGUAAAUUAUCUUCACGCUGAAUUUGUGUAAUUUCCCUAUCUGUGUUAAGUGCUAGUCAUGUGGUUAUGGCCAUUUUCCUGGUCUAAGACUCUUCUGAGCGAACGUUUGAAGGGAAUAUUUGGCAAGUGCAACCCAGACUACAUUUCAGGAAUGACCUGGGAUUGAUGGGGGGAUGAAGUGUUCUUGCAUCUCUCCAUGCAGCCAGCUGAACGAGGCUGAGAAGGUGGCUCCAAUUAAUACCACAUGGAGCAGAAAAACCACCCAGCUGGGACCUGUCUGAAAUUCCACACAAUUACAAGAAAUAGUAAAUUGUUGUUGUGAGCCCCUAAGCUGUGGACUGAUUUGCCAAAUGGUCCCCACUCUGCCCCAUGAGUUUCAGUCAGAAUACAAUCUUGUUUGGGGCCAGAACAAGGAGCAACCCUGUGUUGCUGGGGAAAAGAGUUCCAGGAAGGGUGAGUACAAAUCUCAGAGGCAGAACAAGGUUUGAAGUGUUCGCAGAACUGGAAGCAGGCCAGUGAGACUUGAGCACAAUGAGUGGUAAGAAGGUUGAAGUGAAGUGGGAGUAGGAAGCAGGAGGUGGAUCUCAGAGGGCCUUGUAGACCAUGAUAAAGGGUUUGGAGUUUACUGUGUAAGCAGUCGGAAGUCUUUGGAGUGUGUGUUAAACUGGUUUAUUUUCAGAAGAUCUUUCUGGCUACUUUGUGGUGAAUGAGUAGUAUUGGGGCAGGCAUCAUGGUUGACAGAGCCCUCAGGAACCACUGACAUGGACUAGGUAAGAUGUGGUGGUUAGUCGCCCUAAGAUGUCAGUUGUCACCUUGGAGAGAGGAGAACAGAUUAGAGAUGUAUUUUGAAGGUAAAGUGGUGGGAAGUUCAAAGAGAUAGGGAAAAAAAGGAGGGGAUUAAGAAUAACUGCCGGAUUUGUGGUUUGAAAUACCAGGAAGUGCAAUUUGAUAAAUGAAGCAAACCACAGUGGAAGGAGCCUUGGGUGAGGGCUCUAGGAAGUUAUCAAGAGCUCUGGUUUUAGUUAAUAAAUUUGAAAUAAGUAUUAAAAAACCUGGUAGACUAUCAAGUAAGUGGUGGAGGGAAAGAUUUGGGCUGGAUUCAUGGAACUGGAUAACUGCUCAGGUGGGGAGAGUGAGAUAGGGUGGGAGAGGGCGCUAGGCUGAGCCCUGAGACAAGGUGAUUCAAAAAGAUUGAGGUGGCAGAGAAGAGCUGGCAUAGAAUAGUGGGAAGGGAGAGCUUCUGAGGGAGAGGAAAAUUAGGAAGUAUUCCAAGGAAUUCGUCAGAAGGAAGAAUGAACUGUGUUGGGGGCUACUGAGAAUCAGAUAAGAAGAUGGCGAAGACAUUUAUUUGAUUUGGCAACAUGGAGGAUGUUGAUAGUAUUGACCAGAACCAUUUCCUUAGACAGAGGGGGCAGCCAUCAGGUUUUACUUAAUUGAAGAAUGAAGAACUGUAAGGAGCAGCAAGUAUGAAGAUGUCCUUCCAAAAAUUGUGGUAUGAAAAGAGAGAAAGAGAAUGACACCUACAGAGAAAGGUGGAGUAAAGGGAAGGGUGUUGUGGUUGCUUCUGGUUUUACAUGUUUAUUUGUUUAUCAAAGUAGUAUAUAUUCUUAUUUUGAAAAAUUUAAUUCUAUUAGUAAACUUAAAUUUUAAAAAAAGCCAGUAGUGUCCCAAUCCUACUCAAGAGGAAAUCACUUUUAACUCUUUCUCCUGUUGUACCCUUCAAUUUCUAAAUAAUACAUAUUGAAACAAUUUCUCUUGACUUAGUGCUAUAAGAGAUAUGUACUUUUUAUUUUCCUUGACAUAUGCUAGAGCAACUUUUUUCUGUAAAGUACCAUAUAUUUUAGGUUGUGGAGGUCAUUUGGUCUCAACUGGAAGUAUUCGACUCUCCUCUUACAGCAUGAAAGCGACUACAGAAAAUACAUAAAUGAAUGAGCAUAGCCAAGAUUCAAUAAAACUUUAUUUACCAAAACAGUUGGUGGGUCAGAUUCAAUUAAUGGGCUAGAGUUUGCCAGCUCCUCUUUAGAGCAUGAUUGUGUACUUAUGGGACUGGCAGGAGGGAGGAGGAAACCGAAGAUGUAGAUCCUAGCUAUAGGUAUUGAAAUAUAGAGGAAAGGUACCACUUCAUACUAUGUCAGAGCUCUUUUCAAUCUGCUGAUAGCCUUGCAUCUUCAACACUGUGGCAGGAGAACAGGAGAUCUCUGGUUUGCUUAAGAUGAACACAAAGUUAAUACAAACACUUCCUGCUCCACUGUGCAUGGGGCUUAGUAACAUACAGUUUUUUGUAGAACUGAUUUCUCCAUUUGGUGAAUCCAGCAGGUGAGCUCAGUUGUAUAUAUGCCUCUAUUUGAAGACCUUGCCCAUCUCUCACCCAAGCUCAGAAAUUAGAGUCUAUCAGCAUACUUAAUUAAUAUCUGUAAAGCCAAAAGGACACAGGAAGUCUCUAAAUUGCCUCAGGAAAUCCUGAUUGAAUGAAAGUUAUAAACCAGGCCUCCUAUGCCCCCACCUAUGAGCUAUGACUAUUUCCUAGAAAUGGCUGUGGUUUCCCAUGUCUUUUAAUACCCAGUGGUUCAAGGAUUGGUACUGACCUUGACAAAAUGAAUAAGCUGUAAACAGCUCUAAAAAUAGACACUGUUAAGUUAUCCAUAGUUCUCUGAAUGUGGUACUUCUGGUGGACUUUCUUGUUCCUUUUGCUAUGACAUGGCAGAGAUAUGAUGGGAACUCUACUACCUAAACACUAGUGGUGACAGAUUAAGCAGUGACAUUGAUGGUUCAUUUAGUACCAACUGAUGCUGUCCAAAAUGUCCACUUUCUAAGCACUGGGGACAUUUGGUCUGUUAGGCAAUAUAUUUUAUGGUUUCAUUUACAGAACUUACAAAUAUGCUUAUUUAAAUGAUUCAGGCUUAGCCAAAGAAAACAUGUUUACUUUCCAAAUAAA